rnacentral:rRNA from 1 species
AUACGGAGGGUGCGAGCGUUAAUCGGAAUUACUGGGCGUAAAGCGUACGUAGGCGGUUGGUUAAGUUGGAUGUGAAAGCCCCGGGCUUAACCUGGGAACUGCAUUUAAAACUGGCGAACUAGAGUUGAGUAGAGGGGAGUGGAAUUUCAGGUGUAGCGGUGAAAUGCGUAGAGAUCUGAAGGAACACCAGUGGGGAAGGCGACUCCCUGGACUCGAACUGACGCUGAGGUACGAAAGCGUGGGUAGCAAACGGGAUUAGAAACCCUAGUAGUCC